rnacentral:rRNA from 1 species
AGUGAACGCUGGCGGUAGGCCUAACACAUGCAAGUCGAACGGCAGCACAGUAAGAGCUUGCUCUUACGGGUGGCGAGUGGCGGACGGGUGAGAAAUACAUCGGAAUCUACUUUUUCGUGGGGGAUAACGUAGGGAAACUUACGCUAAUACCGCAUACGACCUACGGGUGAAAGCAGGGGAUCUUCGGACCUUGCGCGAUUGAAUGAGCCGAUGUCGGAUUAGCUAGUUGGCGGGGUAAAGGCCCACCAAGGCGACGAUCCGUAGCUGGUCUGAGAGGAUGAUCAGCCACACUGGAACUGAGACACGGUCCAGACUCCUACGGGAGGCAGCAGUGGGGAAUAUUGGACAAUGGGCGCAAGCCUGAUCCAGCCAUACCGCGUGGGUGAAGAAGGCCUUCGGGUUGUAAAGCCCUUUUGUUGGGAAAGAAAAGCGGCAGGUUAAUACCCCGCUGUUCUGACGGUACCCAAAGAAUAAGCACCGGCUAACUUCGUG